GCAGACACAUUCCAGCCAAUCAGCAGCAGUCACUCCCUCCCAGACCCUCCCACCUCCUGGACAGCAUCCAUUGUGAAGCUGCAUUCUUAGUGAGCUGUCCAGGAGGUGGGAGGGUCUGGGAGGGAGCGUCUGCUGCUGAUUGGCUGGAAUGUGUCUG